AAAAACACUAGAUGUUAUUUUCCCUUCCAAAAUACAAUAUAUAUUUCUAUACUGACUAUCUACAAAAUUUCUCUGUAUUUCCUUGAUCUUAUAUCAAAUAGUAAAUUAUUUUGCUCUUUGUCUUUGUCCAAUUUUGUCCUUGGGCCUUAGUGUGUGAGUAUAUCCGUACACAUGUGUAUAUGUGUGGGGGACGCAUUUUGGACGAGAAGAUCUCUGAGGUUACAGAAGACAUAUGCCUUCACAAAAUGGGACAUCUUUCCAAAUAUAAAUGACCAGACAUUACCAGAAC
rnacentral:lncRNA from 1 species